rfam:Schistosoma rodhaini strain Burundi genome assembly, scaffold: SROB_scaffold0002077
AUCCAGCUGACGAGUCCCAAAUAGGAUGAAACACGCGUCAAACUGGAU